CCGCCCGCCCGCCUGCUGCCUGCCCGCCCGCCUGCUGCCCGCCCGCCGCUUCCGGGGGCGGCGCUUCACAGGCCGAGCAGAGCGGACCGGGCCGCCUAGCGACCGAAUGGGGCAGCGACGGGCCGGGCCGGCUUUUCAGAAGCAGCAGCGAGCCACCAGAAAGAAGAGACAUGUUUGGUGCUCAGGCAGUGCCCAGCAAUGCACGGUGUGGAAUGGUGCCCUUCUCUUGCUGUCUUGUUAAACCAAGCACAGGCUAAUCCCUCAGCUGUGCUCUUAGAGGUACUGGCUACGCGGCAGGAAGAAGCAACCUGACUUCAUCAGGCAGAAGAGGUUACUGGGAAAGCCAGUGUAUCAUCUUGGGCUGUGAGAGCAAGUGGAGCUGGAACUCACACCUUAACUAAGCACAUAACCAAUGACUCCUGUAGUCACCCUGCCAUCAGAAAAUGCUGCCUUUGUAGCAGAAGAGCAUCAUGGCAGGGGGACAAUGCAACAGACAAGCUCAUACACAGAAUUGGCCGUAUUAUGUGGUGUCCACACAGAGCAAUCAGCAGGGACCCUACAGAUUGACUCUUAUCUGCAGCCUUUACUGGGAGAAGACAUUAAUAGGACAUCUAUGUCAGGCUACAAUUGGCCAAGGGAUGAAGGAGUCACUGGGAGCGAGAGAGAAGAUAAGGACACAGAAAACCAGCAGUGCAGCACAGGCUGCAAAAUCAUGGAGGACUUGAGAAGGGUGAACAGAAGCCAAUUUCACCAACUCUUUUAGGAUGAGAACUCACAAGAAGAGCCUAUUGCAAGCAAACGGCUACAGAUUCAAGGAAUUCACCUACUUGAAGACAGCCAGAAAGUGGAAAAUUAGCAAGGAUAAGCAUCAUAUGAGGAAAUGUUACGUGAAUUCUUGGUUUGAACAAGUCCACCUGCUCUCAGUAUGGAAGUCUCCCUGUGGGAUGCCUGCUGAAAGUUCUUCACUUUGACUUGCCGUGAGAUGAGGUUGGAGCAGACCCCACGUCUCUGCAAUAUACAGUCCACUGGUGUUUGCUUCACGUUGACAUCUUUUCUUCUUAGGUAGAAGUUCUGUUUUGAAAGGCAGUUCUGGUGACUCUGAUUUACAAUGACAGCAGCUUCAGUGGCAUUUAAAGAGUCUGGAAGGAAGAAAUAAAUAAGCGUGAAGAUUUCUUAAUAAAGCAAAGGGAAAAG